rnacentral:tRNA from 2 species
GCGGUUGUGGCGGAACUGGCAGACGCUCAAGACUAAGGAUCUUGUGGUAUUGCACCGUGCAGGUUCAAGUCCUGUCAACCGCACCA